UCUUGGAAACGCCCCAAUUGUGGUCGUUGGAGCUGUCGGCUACAUCGAGACCCCAUUCGGACCUCGUGCCCUGUGCAACGUCUGGGCUCAGCAUUUGUCGGAAGAAUGCCGUCGUCGUUUCUACAAGAACUGGCACGCGAGCAAGAAGAAGGCUUUCACCAAGGCCUCCAAGAAGUGGACCGACGAUCUGGGCAAGAAGUCAUCGAGGAUAACUUCAAGAAAAUGAUCCGCUACUGCAAGUUCAUCCGUGUCAUUGCCCACUCUCAGAUUCGUCUGAUCAAGCAAGGCCAGAAGAAGGCCCACAUCAUCGAAAUCCAGCUGAACGGUGGAACCAUCGAAGAUAAGGUCAACUGGGUCAAGGAGCACCUGGAAAAGCAGUGCCAGUCGCUGAUGUGUUCCGUCAGGAAUGAAAUGAAUCGAUUGCGUUGCCGUCACCAAGGGUAAGGGAUUCAAGGGUGUCACCAGCCGUUGGCACACCAAGAAGCUGCCCCGCAAGACGCACAAGGGUCUGCGCAGGUUGCCUGUAUCGGAGCGUGGCAUCCGUCCCGUGUGGCGUUCACCGUUGCACGUGCCGGUCAGAAGGGUUACCAUCACCGUACGGAAAUCAACAAGAAGAUCUACCGCAUUGGUGCCGGAAUCCACACCAAGGAUGGCAAGGUCGUCAAGAACAGCGCCGCCACCGAGUACGAUCUGACGGACAAGUCCAUCACCCCGAUGGGAGGUUUCCCAUUCUAUGGUGAAAUCAACAACGAUUUCCUGAUGAUCAAGGGCUGCUGCAUCGGUGCCAAGCGCCGUAUCAUCACCCUGCGCAAGUCGCUGCUGGUGCACACCAAGCGUGCCUCGCUGGAACAGAUCAACCUCAAGUUCAUCGACACCUCGUCGAAGAUGGGACAUGGUCGCUUCCAGACGCCGGCUGACAAGCGCGCUUACUACGGUGUGCUCAAGAAGGACCGCAUCCGUGAGGAGAAGGCCCAGGCUGCCGCUGCUGCUGCUGCCGCCAAAUCGUCGGCUUAAGUUCGGUUUAAUCGUUUAGAUGUAUCAUGGUACUGAAAUAAUACAUCCUCUUAAUAUAAUGGUUA